GACGAACGCUGGCGGCGUGCCUAAUACAUGCAAGUAGAACGCUGAAGAGAGGAGCUUGCUCUUCUUGGAUGAGUUGCGAACGGGUGAGUAACGCGUAGGUAACCUGCCUUGUAGCGGGGGAUAACUAUUAGAAACGAUAGCUAAUACCGCAUAACAAUGGAUGACCCAUGUCAUUUAUUUGAAAGGGGCAAAUGCUCCACUACAAGAUGGACCUGCGUUGUAUUAGCUAGUAGGUGAGGUAACGGCUCACCUAGGCGACGAUACAUAGCCGACCUGAGAGGGUGAUCGGCCACACUGGGACUGAGACACGGCCCAGACUCCUACGGGAGGCAGCAGUAGGGAAUCUUCGGCAAUGGGGGCAACCCUGACCGAGCAACGCCGCGUGAGUGAAGAAGGUUUUCGGAUCGUAAAGCUCUGUUGUAAGUCAAGAACGAGUGUGAGAGUGGAAAGUUCACACUGUGACGGUAGCUUACCAGAAAGGGACGGCUAACUACGU
rnacentral:rRNA from 1 species